GCAAAGAUAGCCUAACAGACAAGACACAGCACUGAAAACGCUUUAAUAAAGGUUUGAAUCCUUUUCUUAGCA
rnacentral:tRNA from 1 species